CAAUGGCGACUGCGACGAGCAUGGCCUCAUGGGAAGUUUCCAUGCAGGCUGCUGGGAUGAGCAGACGGAAAUCUGUUAAAUUCAAGGGCUCCUUCACGUGAUCUUGGAGGGCAUGGUGACCAUAGAUGUUGUAUUGAUCAUCCCACUUUGUCUUGGUGGUAAUGGUGUGGCUAUAAAGAUGUUCAUUGUUGGAACAAAAUGGCUUUUUCAGCAAGAACCUGCAACUCCCUAAGGUACUUCAGUUUAAUUUUUAAAUGCUGUGUUUUGCUCCAUCUCUGUGAUGAAGAUACUUAGCUCACUUUGACCCGAUGUGAAAAGUUACGAACAUCUGAGAGAUUUAUGGGAUGUUUAUUAUUCUGAUUUUACAUAUGCCCGUGUCUGACGUUGUUCCUCUUGUUUUCUUGACAGGACUGUUAUUUGUCCAAAACGAAGCGGGUCAAGUCCUUUGGUGGUAUUAGGUAAGGUUACUUGCUCCCAUGUGCUGAUUAACCCUCUGUAACUAAUGAUGAUUAUCUUUUGGAAUCUCGUUCGUCUGAAAUCCUGUUGAUAAAUCUUUAUUACUGAAGUUACAGUACAUUAUUCACUUUUUUUAAAAAAACAUUUUUUAAAUGCUAUUUGUAUCUGAAAUGACACUCUGAUUUUCUCUCCUAAAAGGUUGCAUACCUGAAGUACUCUCAGCAGGUAGGAAUAUGCAUCUCUCAUGACACAUUCCAUUGAAAUGGUCCCUUUUGUAGUUAACUUGCAUCUCUGUGCUCUUCCAUCUGUAAUACACUCAAUCCCUCUGUAACUGAUGAUGAUUACCUUUUUGGAAUCUCGUUCGUCUGA
rnacentral:lncRNA from 12 species